rnacentral:rRNA from 1 species
GAUGAACGCUGGCGGCGUGCCUAACACAUGCAAGUCGAGCGGUUUACUUCGGUUAAGAGCGGCUGCCGGGGUAGUAACGCGGGGGGAACCUCCUCUGUACACACCGAUAACAUACCGAAUGAUAUCCUAAUACUAGAGAUUAUGCUUUUAUCGCAUGCUAGAAGUAUCAAAGCGGUUGCGGUACAGGAUGGACCCGCGUCUGAUUAGCUAGUUGGUGAGGUAACGGCACACCAGGGCGACGAUCAGUAGCCGACCGGGGAAGGUGAUAGGCGACAUUGGAACUGCGGCCCGGUCCCAACUGCGACGGAGGGGAGCAGAAGAGAGCAUUGUGCGAGGAGGGAAAGCGCGAUGCAGCCGCGCCGGGUAAGCGAUGAAGGGGUUCGGGUCGUAAAGCCCUGUCUGAAGGGAAGAGAGUGACGGUACUUGAGAAAGAAGCCCCGGCUAACUACGUG